AAGGCGAUGAUGCAUAGCCGAGUUGAGAGACUGAUCGGCCACAUUGGGGACUGAGACACGGCCCAAAACUCCUACGGGAGGCAGCAGUAGGGAAUCUUCCACAAUGGACGAAAGUCUGAUGGAGCAACGCCGCGUGAGUGAAGAAGGUUUUCGGAUCGUAAAAGCUCUGUUGUUGGUGAAGAAGGAUAGAGGUAGUAACUGGCCUUUAUUUGACGGUAAUCAACCAGAAAGUCACGGCUAACUACGUGCCAGCAGCCGCGGUAAU
rnacentral:rRNA from 1 species